AUAGAACGCUGGCGGCAUGCUUUACACAUGCAAGUCGAACGGUAGCAGGCCGCAAGGUGCUGACGAGUGGCGAACGGGUGAGUAAUGCAUCGGAACGUGCCCAGUCGUGGGGGAUAACGCAGCGAAAGCUGCGCUAAUACCGCAUACGAUCUAUGGAUGAAAGCGGGGACCUAAGGCCUCGCGCGAUUGGAGCGGCCGAU
rnacentral:rRNA from 1 species